rnacentral:rRNA from 1 species
GGGGAAUCUUAGACAAUGGGCGCAAGCCUGAUCUAGCCAUGCCGCGUGUGUGAUGAAGGUCUUAGGAUCGUAAAGCACUUUCGCCAGGGAUGAUAAUGACAGUACCUGGUAAAGAAACCCCGGCUAACUCCGUGCCAGCAGCCGCGGUAAUACGGAGGGGGUUAGCGUUGUUCGGAAUUACUGGGCGUAAAGCGCGCGUAGGCGGAUUGGAAAGUUGGGGGUGAAAUCCCGGGGCUCAACCCCGGAACUGCCUCCAAAACUAUCAGUCUAGAGUUCGAGAGAGGUGAGUGGAAUUCCAAGUGUAGAGGUGAAAUUCGUAGAUAUUUGGAGGAACACCAGUGGCGAAGGCGGCUCACUGGCUCGAUACUGACGCUGAGGUGCGAAAGUGUGGGGAGCAAACAGGAUUAGAUACCCUGGUAGUCCACACCGUAAACGAUGAAUGCCAGUCGUCGGGCAGUAUACUGUUCGGUGACACACCUAACGGAUUAAGCAUUCCGCCUGGGGAGUACG